rnacentral:rRNA from 1 species
GCCAGCCCGCUCAGAACGUUAAAGAAUUGACGGGGCCCGCACAAGCGUGGAGCAUGUGGUUUAAUUCGAUGAUACGCGAGGAACCUUACCUGGGCUCAAAUGUAUGUUGACGUAUUCUGAAAGGGAUACUUCUUCGGACAAUAUACAAGGUGCUGCAUGGUUGUCGUCAGCUCGUGCCGUGAGGUGUCGGGUUAAGUCCCAUAACGAGCGCAACCCCUAUCAUUAGUUGCCAUCAGGUCAAGCUGGGGACUCUAAUGAAACUGCCUACGCAAGUAGUGAGGAAGGUGGGGAUGACGUCAAAUCAGCACGGCCCUUACGUCCAGGGCUACACACGUGCUACAAUGGCCGGUACAAAGGGCAGCUACCUGGUGACAGGAUGCUAAUCUCAAAAGCCGGUCUCAGUUCGGAUCGGAGUCUGCAACCCGACUCCGUGAAGCUGGAAUCGCUAGUAAUCGUGAAUCAGAAUGUCACGGUGAAUACGUUCCCGGGCCUU